UACGUAGGGGGCAAGCGUUGUCCGGAUUUAUUGGGCGUAAAGAGCGUGUAGGCGGCUAGAUAGGUCCGUUGUGAAAACUCGAGGCUCAACCUCCAGACGUCGACGGAAACCGUAUGGCUAGAGUCCGGAAGAGGAGAGUGGAAUUCCUGGUGUAGCGGUGAAAUGCGCAGAUAUCAGGAAGAACACCCGUGGCGAAGGCGGCUCUCUGGUACGUGACUGACGCUGAGACGCGAAAGCGUGGGGAGCAAACAGG
rnacentral:rRNA from 1 species